AUUGAACGCUGGCGGCAUGCUUUACACAUGCAAGUCGAACGGUAACAGGUUAAGCUGACGAGUGGCGAACGGGUGAGUAAUGCAUCGGAACGUGCCCGAUCGUGGGGGAUAACGCAGCGAAAGCUGCGCUAAUACCGCAUACGAUCUGAGGAUGAAAGCGGGGGACCGUAAGGCCUCGCGCGAUCGGAGCGGCCGAUGUCAGAUUAGGUAGUUGGUGGGGUAAAGGCUCACCAAGCCGACGAUCUGUAGCUGGUCUGAGAGGACGACCAGCCACACUGGGACUGAGACACGGCCCAGACUCCUACGGGAGGCAGCAGUGGGGAAUUUUGGACAAUGGGCGAAAGCCUGAUCCAGCAAUGCCGCGUGCAGGAAGAAGGCCUUCGGGUUGUAAACUGCUUUUGUACGGAGCGAAAAGGCUCUCUCUAAUACAGGGGGCUCAUGACGGUACCGUAAGAAUAAGCACCGGCUAACUACGUGCCAGCAGCCGCGGUAA
rnacentral:rRNA from 1 species